rnacentral:rRNA from 1 species
GACAGUGCGGCUUGCUAUACUGGCAGUCGAGCGAAUGGAUUAAGAGCUUGCUCUUAUGAAGUUAGCGGCGGACGGGUGAGUAACACGUGGGUAACCUGCCCAUAAGACUGGGAUAACUCCGGGAAACCGGGGCUAAUACCGGAUAACAUUUUGAACCGCAUGGUUCGAAAUUGAAAGGCGGCUUCGGCUGUCACUUAUGGAUGGACCCGCGUCGCAUUAGCUAGUUGGUGAGGUAACGGCUCACCAAGGCAACGAUGCGUAGCCGACCUGAGAGGGUGAUCGGCCACACUGGGACUGAGACACGGCCCAGACUCCUACGGGAGGCAGCAGUAGGGAAUCUUCCGCAAUGGACGAAAGUCUGACGGAGCAACGCCGCGUGAGUGAUGAAGGCUUUCGGGUC